GGAUUGUGGCUCAGUGGUACAGCACUUGCCUAGCAUGCUUGAGGCACUGGGUUCGAUCCUCAGCACCA
rnacentral:tRNA from 1 species